UGCAAGUCGAACGAUGAACCGCUUGCUGGUGGAUUAGUGGCGAACGGGUGAGUAACACGUGAGUAACCUGCCCUUAACUCUGGGAUAAGCCUGGGAAACUGGGUCUAAUACCGGAUAUGACUCCUCAUCGCAUGGUGGGGGGUGGAAAGCUUUUGUGGUUUUGGAUGGACUCUCGGCCUAUCACCUUGUUGGUGAGGUAAUGGCUCACCAAGGCGACAACAGGUAGCCGGCCUGAGAGGGUGACCGGCCACACUGGGACUGAGACACGGCCCACACUCCUACGGGAGGCAGCAGUGGGGAAUAUUGCACAAUGGGCGGAAGCCUGAUGCAGCGACGCCCCGUGAGGGAUGACGGCCUUCGGGUUGUAAACCUCUUUCAGUAGGGAAGAAACGAAAGUGACGGUACCUGCAGAAAAAACGCCGGCUAACUACGUGCCACCAGCCGCGGUAAUACGUAGGGCGCAAGCGUUAUCCGGAAUUAUUGGGCGUAAAGAGCUCGUAGGCGGUUUGUCGCGUCUGCCGUGAAAGUCCGGGGCUCAACUCCGGAUCUGCGGUGGGUACGGGCAGACUAGAGUGAUGUAGGGGAGACUGGAAUUCCUGGUGUAGCGGUGAAAUGCGCAGAUAUCAGGAGGAACACCGAUGGCGAAGGCAGGUCUCUGGGCAUUAACUGACGCUGAGGAGCGAAAGCAUGGGGAGCGAACAGGAUUAGAUACCCUGGUAGUCCAUGCCGUAAACGUUGGGCACUAGGUGUGGGGGACAUUCCACGUUUUCCGCGCCGUAGCUAACGCAUUAAGUGCCCCGCCUGGGGAGUACGGCCGCAAGGCUAAAACUCAAAGGAAUUGACGGGGGCCCGCACAAGCGGCGGAGCAUGCGGAUUAAUUCGAUGCAACGCGAAGAACCUUACCAAGGCUUGACAUGAACCGGUAAGACCUGGAAACAGGUCCCCCACUUGUGGCCGGUUUACAGGUGGUGCAUGGUUGUCGUCAGCUCGUGUCGUGAGAUGUUGGGUUAAGUCCCGCAACGAGCGCAACCCUCGUUCCAUGUUGCCAGCGCGUUAUGGCGGGGACUCAUGGGAGACUGCCGGGGUCAACUCGGAGGAAGGUGGGGACGACGUCAAAUCAUCAUGCCCCUUAUGUCUUGGGCUUCACGCAUGCUACAAUGGCCGGUACAAAGGGUUGCGAUACUGUGAGGUGGAGCUAAUCCCAAAAAGCCGGUCUCAGUUCGGAUUGGGGUCUGCAACUCGACCCCAUGAAGUCGGAGUCGCUAGUAAUCGCAGAUCAGCAACGC
rnacentral:rRNA from 1 species